CAUUCACUCACAAGAAACAGAACCACAGGCCUCUCACUCCGGGGUACCCACAAGAAAUGAUCGCUUUCCCGGGUUAGGAGGCCUCUGCAACACGAGGAAUGUCAGAGCUCAGCGGAGAGCACGCAACUCAAAUACCGUGUGCCAGUGAUCUGUGACGCUCCUUGCUGCGAACUUCUGGGAAAGCAUCAACUUCUUCAACAACUUCUGGAGCAGUAAAAGCUGAAAGAAGAGUGUCACCUCUGCAGCUUGCACGGCCUUCUGCAACGCUGAAUAUUUUUUCAAAGUCAGUGCCUGAGAUUUUUGCUGGCUGCUUACAACUGAUACACACCACAUCUCAAACCAGACCUCCAGCUGUCACGGAGCUACAGAAUCUUGUGUCAGCCCCACAUUGCCAGAG